rnacentral:miRNA from 1 species
AAGUGGAGAAGUGGUCUCUUCACU